UUGACCUCGGAUCAGGUAGGGUUACCCGCUGAACUUAAGCAUAUCAAUAAGCGGAGGAAAAGAAACCAACAGGGAUUGCCUCAGUAACGGCGAGUGAAGCGGCAACAGCUCAAAUUUGAAAUCUGGUCGCCUGUGCGGCCCGAGUUGUAAUUUGAAGAGGAUGCUUUUGACAAUGUGCCUUCCGAGUUCCCUGGAAUGGGACGCCAUAGAGGGUGAGAGCCCCGUAUGGUAGGUUACUGCGUCUCUGUAAAGCUCCUUCGACGAGUCGAGUAGUUUGGGAAUGCUGCUCAAAAUGGGAGGUAAACCCCUUCUAAAGCUAAAUAUUGGCCAGAGACCGAUAGCGCACAAGUAGAGUGAUCGAAAGAUGAAAAGCACUUUGAAAAGAGAGUUAAACAGCACGUGAAAUUGUUGAAAGGGAAGCGUUUGCGACCAGACUUGUGCUCGUCGAAUCAGCCGUCGCUCGUCGGCGGUGCAUUUCGGCGGGCUCAGGCCAGCAUCAGUUCGCUGUAGGGGGAGAAAGGCGGAAGGAAUGUGGCUCUUCGGAGUGUUAUAGCCUACCGUAUAAUACCCCUCGGUGGACUGAGGACCGCGCAUCUGCAAGGAUG
rnacentral:rRNA from 1 species